rnacentral:rRNA from 1 species
UGGGGAAUAUUGGACAAUGGGCGCAAGCCUGAUCCAGCCAUGCCGCGCGAGUGACGAAGGCCUUAGGGUUGUAAAGCUCUUUUGGCGGGGAAGAUAAUGACGGUACCCGCAGAAUAAGCUCCGGCUAACUUCGUGCCAGCAGCCGCGGUAAUACGAAGGGAGCUAGCGUUGUUCGGAAUCACUGGGCGUAAAGCGCACGUAGGUGGGCAGUUAAGUCAGGGGUGAAAGCCCGAGGCUCAACCUCGGAAUUGCCUCUGAUACUGGCUGUCUAGAGUCCGAGAGAGGAGGGUGGAAUUCCUAGUGUAGAGGUGAAAUUCGUAGAUAUUAGGAAGAACACCGGUGGCGAAGGCGGCCCACUGGCUCGGUACUGACACUGAGGUGCGAAAGCGUGGGGAGCAAACAGGAUUAGAUACCCUUGUAGUCCCUGAGCGGGCUGGCAAGGCGCAU